CUCUUGUAGAGAAACAAAUUAAAAACAGGAGGGAAAAUGUAAACAAAUGCAGACAACAAUGUUAUUUUGCGAAUUUCUUCAUGUUUUAUAUUCAAGCAUAAUGGGAAAUGGAUAAAUUUUUCACAGUGAUGUUAGCCUACACUUAUAUAUAUGGUUAAGUUGGUGUGAUUUGCUCAUAUUUUGAAAAUAUUGUCAGAACAAUGGAACUGUGUCUGUACUAAGACAGUGUAUUUUAUAGUUUAUUUUGCUUACCGUAACUAACUUUUUUAAUGUAUUUAUUUAUAUAAUCUUCGAAUAAUUGUUAUAAAAUGUGUAGCAUAAAAGAUUUCGUAGGCAAUUGUGACAACUGCAGUGACGACAGGUAUUUUUGAAAAUGCUUCCAUUGGAAAAAGAGACAUGUAUAAAUUUUUGUCAGAAAUUUCUUUACUUAAAUCUGACAUUACAUUGUACGUCACAACUGAGGAUCUGUGAUAUUCAUAGAAAUAUUAUCAUCGAAACAACUAACAAGAAAUAUAGAAGGAAAGAUUGUGGUGUGCCUUCAGUAAAUGUCAUUUUGAAAUAUCAUAAUACUACAAAAGCAGUGGAUCGACAUGUUACACCCGAGAUGUUUCAAAGAAUUGUUACAAAGACAGGCAUUUUCAUUCCUAUUGGAACAUAGCAUGCUGAAAGAAGUUUGGUCAAUUAUGUCUUUGUAACCCUCUAAAGACGGCUUGAAAGUGCUAUUUGUUUGGAAAAAAAUGUAGUAUAAUCACGAAUUUAGAUUGCUAAUCAGACAAAACACAACACCUUUGACUGAAGUGAAGGGGCUCCUGUUGGGAUCAUGGAAAUUAUGUUGGUGUUAUUGAAGCAAUUUGUAGACUGUGUAGAGAAAAACUAUUUGGAAAUAACAGUAUUGAGCAUGUUGAGGAGGAGAACACUAUUGAGACAAAUACAAAGAACAAGAUUGCAGAAGCUGAAAUACUACCACCUUAAAGAAAGAGGGCACUUGAUAAAGUACCAGGGAAGCGUUACAGGGUGAAGGUUGUUGACACAAUCCUUGAUUUAGAUGUAACCAAGAAUAAAGAAACAAUAACCAAUAUUACAAGUUUUUACAACUUUAGAUUUGAGAGCAGUCAUUUGAGGAUGUGGCAGACAUACAAUAUUGAUGAAGGAAAGCUUGUGACUUUAAAAUCAACAAAGAAUUCUGCAGAGGCGGAUUUAGAGGGUUUUUCAGGGGACCCGGGCCCCCCCUUUUGUGGGAAACAUUUUGUUGAUUAUAUAGGGAAUCACUGAAGCAUGACUGGAGCGGGCCCCUUCUUAAGCAGUCAGUGGGCCCCCCCUUAUGAAAAUUUCUGGAUCCGCCACUGUUCUGUGCAGUUAAAAGUACCCAAUGACUGGACAGAGAUGUCUUUUAAUGACCUCAUUACUGAAGGAACAGAACAGGCUUCAAAACAACAGAAGCAGACAUUCAUUUGUUCUAUGGAUGGCUGCAUUCAAGAGUUCAAGAACCAGAUUAGUCUUGAUCAACACCUCCUUCAAGGCAGCUGUGAAUAUAAGCUAGAGAAAGGCCCAUUAAAAGAUCAGGCAAAAGUUCUAUAUGCCCAAAAGCUGUCAAAUAAUGUACAUCAUUGUCCUGAUAUGCAAGCAGUCUUACUAGAAAAUGCAUGUACUACAGACUUGAGUGCCAAAGAAAUGUGAUGGGCAUUGAAAGUGAAAAAGAAAAAGAUUUUCUUUAGCAUCAAACAGAAAGAAUUCAUGACGGAUUUAUUUUAUUUAUCUUGAAAGGAUGCAAAAAGCAGCCAUAUUGGAUUCAACGACAUUAUAUUUUCCCAAUAAAUAGGCGAAAUAGAGAAAAAAACGCCUACCUUAAACUACUUUGUAAUAGCUUAUAUCCAAAUUUGAAGCGUAAACAAAGCCCCAAAACAUACUAUGUUACAGUUUUACACUUGAAGUAUUCAUAUGACGUCAUGAUGUUGCUAUGAAGUUUAUGUGCCAAAGAAGUCAACAACAUUUUGUGGAAUUUUUAUUUUAAGCAACUAUAUGUCCAAAUAAAAAACAGAAACAAUAUCUUUAUUGACUUUUGCAUUAGAAUGGAUAUAACUGUAUUGUAUUUUAAGGUUUGUGGACGUAAAUCUAGCUUUUACUGUUGCAAUUAUCCGUUUACCUAGCUCUGCUACAGGUCACUAGGUAAACUCAAUUUGCGACAGUAAUAUCUACGUUUUAUGUCCGAAAAGGUUAAAAUACAAUACAGUUAUCUCCUAAAUUACCUACACAUGAUUGCACCAAUAUGAGUUUAAUAUAAUGAAAUUUGCAUGUACUUAGAAGGUGUUUUACUUUAUUUUAAAUAUUUAAGUCGGACCAGCAUUUUACCCACAUUGCUUUAUAAAUAGCAAACUUUGUUGAUCUGUAUCAGUUAAAAACUAAUAUGCACAAUCAGUUC